GCCUGUAGCUCAGCGGUAGAGCAGGGGACUCAUAAUCCCUUGGUCGAGGGUUCGAACCCCCCCGGGC
rnacentral:tRNA from 1 species